rnacentral:rRNA from 1 species
GAUAAACGCUGGCGGCGUGCCUAAUACAUGCAAGUCGAGCGAACGGACAACGGAUCUUCGGAACUGUUGGAAGUGAGCGGCGAACGGGUGAGUAACACGUAGGUAACCUGCCCUUGAGAUUGGGAUAACAGUUGGAAACGACUGCUAAUACCGAAUAGGAACAGCUGAGGCAUCUCGGCAGUUUAAAAGGAGCUUUCGGGCUUCACUUAAGGAUGGACCUGCGGCGCAUUAGCUAGUUGGUGGGGUAAUGGCCCACCGAGGCAACGAUGCGUAGCCGACCUGAGAGGGUGAUCGGCCACACUGGGACUGAGACACGGCUCAGACUCCUACGGGAGGCAGCAGUAGGGAAUUUUCCACAAUGGACGAAAGUCUGAUGGAGCAACGCCGCGUGUGCGAAGAAGGCCUUCGGGUUGUAAAGCACUGUUGUAAGGGAAGAAUGGGUGAGAGAGGAAAUGCUCUUGCUAUGACGGUACCAACAGAAGAAGCGACGGCUAAAUACGUGCCAGCCGCCGCCGCAGU